GGAAGGGCUUACCUCAUCAGGCAUGCCUGCCCAGUGUGAUUAAUAAUCAUAAACGGCCGCCCUAGCGUGAGGGUGCUAAGGUAGCGAAAUUCCUUGCCUUUUAAUUGUAGGCCUGCAUGAAUGGCUUAACGAGGGCUUAACUGUCUCUGGUUUACAGGGUCUAAAUUGGAUUAAAGGUGAAGAUACCUUUAUAUAAAAGUCAGACAAGAAGACCCCGUGCAACUUUCAAAAUCGGUUUAUUGAGAAACUUUAAGAUUUUUAGGUGGGGCGCCUACUGAGUAAUACUAACCUCUGUGUAUGGAAAAAACUUUCAAGUAUAGACCCGGCAAUGCCGAUCAUAGGAGAAGUUACGCCGGGGAUAACAGGCUAAUUCACUAGUAGAGAACGUAUUGGCUAGUGGGAUUGGCACCUCGAUGUUGAAUCAGGGAUGAUACCUUUAAGGCGUAGAAGCUUUGAAAGUGGGUCUGUUCGACCUUUAAUACCCUACGUGAUCUGAUUUCCAAACCGG
rnacentral:rRNA from 1 species